rnacentral:rRNA from 1 species
GACGAACGCUGGCGGCGUGCUUAACACAUGCAAGUCGAACGGAAAGGCCCCUUUGGGGGUACUCGAGUGGCGAACGGGUGAGUAACACGUGAGUAACCUGCCCUUGACUUCGGGAUAACUUCAGGAAACUGGGGCUAAUACCGGAUAGGAAUCCUUGCUGCAUGGUGGGGGUUGGAAAGCUUCGGCGGUUUUGGAUGGACUCGCGGCUUAUCAGCUUGUUGGUGGGGUAGUGGCUUACCAAGGCUUUGGCGGGUAGCCGGCCUGAGAGGGCGACCGGCCACAUUGGGACUGAGAUACGGCCCAGACUCCUACGGGAGGCAGCAGUGGGGAAUAUUGCACAAUGGGCGGAAGCCUGAUGCAGCAACGCCGCGUGCGGGAUGACGGCCUUCGGGUUGUAAACCGCUUUCAGCAGGGGCGAAGCUUGUGGUGACGGUACCUGCAGAAGAAGCACCGGCUAACUACGUG